rnacentral:rRNA from 1 species
UACGGGGGGAGCAAGCGUUGUUCGGAUUUACUGGGCGUAAAGGGCGCGUAGGCGGUCAGCACAAGUCAGUUGUGAAAUCUCCGGGCUUAACUCGGAAAGGUCAACUGAUACUGUGCGACUAGAGUGCAGAAGGGGCAACUGGAAUUCCUGGUGUAGCGGUGAAAUGCGCAGAGUAUCAGGAGGAACACCGGUGGCGAAGGCGGGUCUCUGGGCCGAUACUGACGCUGAGGAGCGAAAGCGUGGGGAGCGAACAGG